CUCGUGUCGUGAGAUGUUGGGUUAAGUCCCGCAACGAGCGCAACCCUUAUUGUUAGUUGCCAUCAUUCAGUUGGGCACUCUAGCGAGACUGCCGCAGACAAUGCGGAGGAAGGUGGGGAUGACGUCAAAUCAUCAUGCCCCUUAUGACCUGGGCUACACACGUGCUACAAUGGAGAGUACAACGAGUCGCAAAGCCGCGAGGCUAAGCCAAUCUCUUAAAGCUCUUCUCAGUUCGGAUUG
rnacentral:rRNA from 1 species